CUUUGCGUUCAGCCUCUUUACGGUGCUGCCUUGUGCCGUCUUGAUCAAGCAGCAUUGUACAGGGCUAUGAAGGCGUAG
rnacentral:pre_miRNA from 1 species